UACGGAGGGUGCGAGCGUUGUCCGGAAUCACUGGGCGUAAAGGGCGCGUAGGCGGCGCGAGUAGUCAACGGUGAAAGCCCGGGGCUCAACCCCGGGUCGGCCGUCGAUACUCUCGUGCUUGAGCACUGUAGAGGCAGGUGGAAUUCCGGGUGUAGCGGUGGAAUGCGUAGAGAUCCGGAAGAACACCGGUGGCGAAGGCGGCCUGCUGGGCAGUAGCUGACGCUGAGGCGCGACAGCGUGGGGAGCAAACGGG
rnacentral:rRNA from 1 species